AUUGAACGCUGGCGGCAUGCCUUACACAUGCAAGUCGAACGGUAACGCGGGGCAACCUGGCGACGAGUGGCGAACGGGUGAGUAACGCAUCGGAACGUGCCCAGUAGUGGGGGAUAGCCCGGCGAAAGCCGGAUUAAUACCGCAUACGACCUACGGGUGAAAGCGGGGGAUCGCAAGACCUCGCGCUAUUGGAGCGGCCGAUGUCAGAUUAGGUAGGUGGUGGGGUAAAGGCCUACCAAGCCUUCGAUCUGUAGCGGGUCUGAGAGGGCGACCAGCCAAACUGGGACUGAGACACGGCCCAGACUCCUACGGGAGGCAGCAGUGGGGAAUUGUGGACAAUGGGCGCAAGCCUGAUCCAGCCAUGCCGCGUGCGGGAAGAAGGCCUUCGGGUUGUAAAGCACUUUAGCCUGGAAAGAAACGGUCUGCGCUAAUACCGCGGACUAAUGACGGUACCCGAAGAAUAAGCACCGGCUAACAACGUGCCAGCAGCCACAGUAAAAC
rnacentral:rRNA from 1 species